rnacentral:rRNA from 1 species
GAUGAACGCUGGCGGCGUGCCUAAUACAUGCAAGUCGAGCGAAGGGACGAGAAGCUUGCUUCUCUGAUGUUAGCGGCGGACGGGUGAGUAACACGUGGAUAACCUACCUAUAAGACUGGGAUAACUUCGGGAAACCGUAGCUAAUACCGGAUAAGAUUUUGAACCGCAUGGUUCAAAAGUGAAAGACGGUCUUGCUGUCACUUAUAGAUGGAUCCGCGCUGCAUUAGCUAGUUGGUAAGGUAACGGCUUACCAAGGCAACGAUGCAUAGCCGACCUGAGAGGCUGAUCGGCCACACUGGAACUUGGCCGCGCACCCUGCUCCUGCGGGACGCCGCAGUAGGGAAUCUUCCGCAAUGGGCGAAAACCUUACGGAGCAACGCCGCGUGAGUGAUGACGGUCUUCGGAUCGUAAAACUCUGUUAUUAGGGAUGAACAUAUUUGUAAGUAACUGUGCCCAUCUUGACGGUACCUAAUCAGAAAGCCACGGCUAACUACGUG